rnacentral:ncRNA from 1 species
CCUGGAGGAUUAUCGAGUUCGUUCCGACAGAAUGGAAAUUAAAGACAAGACUCGAAAGGUUACACGUUCAUUCAUAGUGCUUUGUUUUUUAGCCAUGAAAUUCAAUAAUGAUAAUUGGUAGUUAUGAAAAACCUUGGGGAAGUUUGGAGCGAAGAUUAAAGUUAUGGUGUGACUUAAUGAAUGGACUAUCUUUG